UUUAUUAAGAGGUAGGGCCUGCUCACUGAUGUAUUUAAGAGCCGCGGUAUAUUGACUGUGCUAAGGUAGCAUAAUAAUUUGUCUUUUAAUUGAAGACUAGAAUGAAUGGUUUAACGAGAAAUUAACUUUUUUGAAAGUAACAUUUUGAAUUUAAUUUUUUAGUGAAAAAGCUAAAAUAGAAUAAAAAGACGAGAAGACCCUAUAGAGUUUUAUAUUUGAAUUAUUUGUUUUUAAAUAAUUUUGGUAAUUGCAAAUAAGUAAAUUAUUUUGUUGGGGCGACAUUUAGAUAAGAAAAACUUUUUAUUUUUAAAAUUUCAAUUGAAAAAUUUUUGAUCCUUAAAAAAGAUUAAAAGAAUAAGUUACCUUAGGGAUAACAGCGUAAUCUUUCUUGAGAGUUCUAAUCGACAGAAAGGUUUGCGACCUCGAUGUUGGACUAAAAUUAAAUUAAGGAGCAGUAUCCUUAGAUUUAGGUCUGUUCGACCUAUAGACUUU
rnacentral:rRNA from 1 species